AAUACCUUCCAGCUAGCCAUUUGGGUGAGGUCCUAGGUUGUUACACUCUAUGCGAGUGAGAUUUCUGAGUUACACUAAUUACUUUUUUUUUCUAGAAAUUUCAAACACGAAUGUUCUAAUUGAAGACUAUAGUUCAAAUGUCACUAACACCAAGAUACCCGAGGGGCUAGAAAAAAUGGUUGAAGUAUUACCUCACAAACGCAGGAUGAACCAUUAUUAUUCUCGCU
rnacentral:lncRNA from 1 species